CGAGCGGCGAACGGGUGAGUAACACGUGGGUGAUCUGCCUUGCACUUCGGGAUAAGCCUGGGAAACUGGGUCUAAUACCGGAUAUGACCACGGAAUGCAUGUUUUGUGGUGGAAAGAUUUAUCGGUGCGAGAUGGGCCCGCGGCCUAUCAGCUUGUUGGUGAGGUAACGGCUCACCAAGGCGACGACGGGUAGCCGACCUGAGAGGGUGACCGGCCACACUGGGACUGAGACACGGCCCAGACUCCUACGGGAGGCAGCAGUGGGGAAUAUUGCACAAUGGGCGAAAGCCUGAUGCAGCGACGCCGCGUGCGGGAUGACGGCCUUCGGGUUGUAAACCGCUUUUGACAGGGACGAAGCGCAAGUGACUGUACCUGUAGAAUAAGGACCGGCCAACUACGUGCCAGCAGCCGCGGUAAUACGUAGGGUCCGAGCGUUGUCCGGAAUUACUGGGCGUAAAGAGCUUGUAGGCGGUUCGUCGCGUCGUUUGUGAAAACUUGGGGCUCAACCUUAAGCUUGCAGGCGAUACGGGCGGACUAGAGUACUUCAGGGGAGACUGGAAUUCCUGGUGUAGCGGUGAAAUGCGCAGAUAUCAGGAGGAACACCGGUGGCGAAGGCGGGUCUCUGGGAAGUAACUGACGCUGAGAAGCGAAAGCAUGGGUAGCAAACAGGAUUAGAUACCCUGGUAGUCCAUGCCGUAAACGGUGGGUACUAGGUGUGGGGCUCCUUCCACGGACUCCGUGCCGUAGCUAACGCAUUAAGUACCCCGCCUGGGGAGUACGGCCGCAAGGCUAAAACUCAAAGAAAUUGACGGGGGCCCGCACAAGCGGCGGAGCAUGUGGAUUAAUUCGAUGCAACGCGAAGAACCUUACCUGGGUUUGACAUACACCGGAAACCUGCAGAGAUGUAGGCCCCCUUGUGGUCGGUGUACAGGUGGUGCAUGGCUGUCGUCAGCUCGUGUCGUGAGAUGUUGGGUUAAGUCCCGCAACGAGCGCAACCCUUAUCUUAUGUUGCCAGCGCGUAAUGGCGGGGACUCGUGAGAGACUGCCGGGGUCAACUCGGAGGAAGGUGGGGACGACGUCAAGUCAUCAUGCCCCUUAUGUCCAGGGCUUCACACAUGCUACAAUGGCCGGUACAGAGGGCUGCGAUACCGCGAGGUGGAGCGAAUCCCUUAAAGCCGGUCUCAGUUCGGAUCGGGGUCUGCAACUCGACCCCGUGAAGUUGGAGUCGCUAGUAAUCGCAGAUCAGCAACGCUGCGGUGAAUACGUUCCCGGGCCUUGUACACACCGCCCGUCACGUCAUGAAAGUCGGUAACACCCGAAGCC
rnacentral:rRNA from 1 species